CGUAUGUUUACCGAUGUGUAUCGGUACUGAUGAGCUCAAAAGAGCGAAACAUAAA
rnacentral:hammerhead_ribozyme from 1 species